rnacentral:rRNA from 1 species
GAUGAACGCUGGCGGCGUGCUUAACACAUGCAAGUCGAACGGAAAGGCUCCUGCUUGCAGGGGUACUCGAGUGGCGAACGGGUGAGUAACACGUGGGUGAUCUGCCCUGCACUUCGGGAUAAGCCUGGGAGACUGGGUCUAAUACCGGAUAGGACCACAUUUUGGAUGGUGUGGUGGAAAGUUUUUCGGUGUGGGAUGAGCUCGCGGCCUAUCAGCUUGUUGGUGGGGUAAUGGCCUACCAAGGCGUCGACGGGUAGCCGGCCUGAGAGGGUGUACGGCCACAUUGGGACUGAGAUACGGCCCAGACUCCUACGGGAGGCAGCAGUGGGGAAUAUUGCACAAUGGGCGCAAGCCUGAUGCAGCGACGCCGCGUGGGGGAUGACGGCCUUCGGGUUGUAAACUCCUUUCGCUAGGGACGAAGCGCAAGUGACGGUACCUGGAGAAGAAGCACCGGCUAACUACGUG